UACGUAGGGACCGAGCGUUGUCCGGAAUCAUUGGGCGUAAAGAGCGUGUAGGCGGCCACUUAAGUCCUGCGUGAAAUCUUGCGGCUCAACCGCAAGCGGUCGUGGAACAUGGUGGCUAGAGUGCGGGAGAGGAGAGUGGAAUUCCUGGUGUAGCGGUGGAAUGCGCAGAUAUCAGGAAGAACACCCGUGGCGAAGGCGGCUCUCUGGAACGCAACUGACGCUGAGACGCGAAAGCGUGGGGAGCAAACAGG
rnacentral:rRNA from 1 species